CCGGUUAUGGUGUAAUCGGUAACACAUUGCUCCAUUGCGGCAAUGCUGGGCGUUCGACUCUCCCUGGUCGGC